UGGCAUACGGUUGUUUCCAUAUGAACUGACUGUUUUUUUUUAAUACGGAUUGCAGUGUAGAAAAUGGUUGAGCUCUUUUAAAACAAAUAUAUUUUAUAAAACGGCUGUGCGAUCAAAAGACAACUAAAAGCAGGUCAGCACGUUUACCUGACGCCGCCAGAGCGUGGUCGUCCUGUCCCAAGCACCACCACCCCACUACCCCCGUGCUCCACUCCUGGGUGCGCGAAUCAAUUACAGCAACGUAACGCGAAAAUCGAUUUCGGCUGCGGGUGAAGGCAGAAUCAACAGAAAGUAUGUCCCACUGUGAUGUGGACACAAAAGUAGAGAUGAUAUCGCCAAGCCGGAUAGAAGGCGUAGCCAAUCGUCGCGGGGUGCACCCAUCCUGGCCGAAGGAGCACAGGCCGAGCAGUAUACUCCUCCUGACAGGAGUGGCACUGUGCUUCCUGACAUCUGGUUGCAAUGCCACAGACACGGACAUCGCUCUUGACGCCAAGGCCACACUCAAUCACCGCAUCCAGAGCUUGGACCUGCUCGUCUUUGUUUUUCUGCUAGCUCUCACAGUCCUCACCAUCUGGCUGUUCAAGCAUCAUCGUGUCUCCUGGCUCCACGAGACCGGACUGGCAGUCAUCUAUGGCUUGAUUGUAGGAGCAAUUAUACGGUAUGCCGGGACCUCCGCCACCCUUGUCCACAUGCAGGUGGAGCCCGAAGGUGUUCCGACGUACAGCGAUAAGUUGCCGCCCGAUACGCUUUGGUUUAAGUACCCCGUUAACCAAACAAACGGAACAAAGCUGCCGGAGGGAAUUAAGACAUAUGCCUAUGUAUUUCGAGGUCAGGUCCACGAUGUGGAUGAAAACGAAAUCGAUCUUAAAGCAACCUUUGAUCCUGAGGUGUUUUUUAAUAUUAUCCUACCGCCAAUCAUCUUUUACGCGGGAUACAGCUUGAAAAAGAAAUACUUCUUCCGCAAUCUGGGUGCCAUCCUUACCUUUGCUAUUGUGGGCACAACUUUGUCGGCUUUCCUGAUCGGCGGCUUCAUGUACGGCUGUGUGAAACUGAUGCCAAAGUACUUGAGCAGCAGUUUCACAUUCCUGGACACUCUAUACUUUGGAGCCCUGAUAUCGCCCACAGAUCCGCUCACCAUUCUAGCCAUAUUUAACGAUCUGCGGGUCGACGUAAACCUAUAUGCGCUAGUCUUGGGCGAAUCUGUGCUGAACGAUGCCGUGGCUAUAGUUCUGAGUGGAGCAAUUCAAAACUAUGGAGAACAUUAUUCCAAUACAGGGGAAUUCGAAACUACAGCUUUUUUGCGCUCUUUAAGCGAUUUCUUUUCCAUCUUUCUACUGUCCCUGAUGAUUGGAGCUGCAAUGGGCUGCUUGACAGCAUUGAUGACCAAGUUUACUAGGGUUCGUGACUUCCCCCUACUGGAGUCGGCGCUAUUUGUGCUGAUGAGCUACAGCACCUUCCUGCUGGCUGAGGCUACUGAACUAACGGGAGUGGUGGCCGUGCUCUUCUGUGGCAUCUGCCAAGCCCACUACACCUACAACAAUCUGUCGGAGGACUCGCGGCAAAGAACAAAACAAAUUUUUGAACUGCUUAAUUUUCUGGCCGAAAACUUCAUCUUUUCCUAUAUUGGCGUGUCCAUGUUUACGUUUCCCAAGCAUCACUUCGAUGCUGGAUUCAUUAUUACAGCUUUCAUCUGCGCUGCAAUAGGACGGGCCGUAAAUGUGUAUCCCUUAUCCUGGUUGCUGAAUAUUAAGCGAAAACCAAAAAUCUCUUCUAACUUUCAGCACAUGCUGUUCUUUGCUGGGCUUCGCGGUGCCAUGUCCUUUGCCUUGGCCAUCCGAAACACAGUAUCGGAUGCCCGUCAGACUAUGCUGACUGCCACAUCGCUAAUUGUUAUCUUUACUGUUGUAAUUCAGGGUGGGGCAGCAAAUUUUCUGCUAAAUUGGCUAAAAAUACCUGUUGGCGUUGACGAUGAGACUGAACAAUUAAAUAAUUACCAAGUGCACAGUGUUUACAAUUCAAUGGACAAUUCACACCCACAGACGUCUGAUGGGUAUUUGCAGGAUGUGGAGAACGGAGGAGGUGGUCGAGGCAAAAUGAGAUUGUCUGGCGGAACGGAGUCUAACUUGGACACGCCAGCGGAUGGGCCGAAUGGCAGCUUGGGCGGCACAAGCGGCGGUCGACGUCGUAACAGUCAUGAGAAGGCCAUUUUGGCUAGAAUUUGGGGGAACUUUGAUACCAAGUACAUGAAGCCUUUGCUGACGCAUUCGCGACCUACUCUUUUGGAGACGCUGCCGGUUUGCUGCAAUCCCAUUGCCAGGCUGCUUACUACCACGCAGCAGUUAACGCAGGAUGGGAGCGAGUUUAGGCGCGUCGACUCGGACUCGGAUAUUUGCAUAGACAACGAUACCGGGAACGGCCUCAGUCAGGAUGUAGGUCCCGGAACGGGUCCGGGUGCAGGUGUGGGGCGGCGAAACUCCCUGAGUCGCACUGUCCAAUUAAAUGAAGCCAAUCACCUUGCAAAUGAGCUCAGCCUGGUUACUAAUAAUUUCAUGUAAUCAUUUCUAUGGAGUAUCAAGAGAUUGAGCCAGUUUCUUGUAUAUUUUUGAUUAAUUUACUAUUUAUAAUAUUUUUGUUUGUUUUUGUCUACUUUUCCUUGGUGAAACCAAAUGUUAUAAAACGAAGCACAGACGGAAACCCAGACAUGAUAAACAAAUCCAGAGUCAGUUAGUCCAGUCAGUGAAUGUGAAUUUAUUAACCGAUUAACUGAUUAACUAAAGCUUCUUAAGGCACAGCAGUUAAAAAUGUUCGUUUGUAUUGUUCACUUUUAAUUUCUGUAUUUUUCCUCAUAAUCUAAUUUCUUAGAUUCUAACACGCGACUAACCAUGUUAGAGGCGAGCAUCGAAACGUUUACACAUAAGUUUAUUUAAUUUUUAUUUUUCCGUUGUUAUUUAUUUUAAUUGGUCUCAUUUAAAAUGAAAUAUGUGAAAGCUGUACAAAUUAGAUUAUUAUUCCUCAGUUUCUCCUUGUUUACGAUUGUGAUUCGGAACUCUAGUUAUAAACAUUAAAUAUCAAGCUUAUCAGAUAAUUUAAAAUCCGUAAGGGCACUAAAGUUGAAAAAGGCUUUUAUCGAGCUGACACACAAGAAUACCAUACCUUAUAACACGAUCAAUUACAUGCUUAUAUAGCCUCUAUGAUUCUAUUAUUUUAAAUUCCUUGCGCCUUUGCAAUAUACUAGUUUACCCAAAAUAUACAAGUAUAUAUGAAUAAAGCCUAAUGGCUAAAUUUAUGCUCCACUGAAAAUGAAUACGAUUACUUAUAGACAUAUUUCCUUUCUCUUAUUUACUUGACGUCGAAAAAUAUGCAAACAAUUUAAUAUUAUUCGCCUGAAACCGCUAAUAAAAAUGUAUUCAGAUGGAGAUUCUGGAGCAUGUUCAAAGUCCGGUGUCGACGAGAAUCAGACUCUUAGGAUUUUAUGGGAAAAAGUUAUAGAACGCAAGGCAUAAAUAAUCAUAUUUAAUUUUUGAUGUAUUUUACACAAUAUAAACGUAUAGCUUUUUCGUUUUAAGAAAGUUAGUGUAAAUAUAUCGUUUUGAAACCAGCUAAAUGUAUUCGGUUUAAUUUUAAAAUUUUAAAUAGCGAUCGUUUCGUUGAUCUACUUAUUUGUUUCGUAAUACCUAAGACACAAUUUCUUACUACAUACAUACGCUGUAUUUAAAUCAAAGCGAAGCUCUCUGAAAAUAUUAAUUGUUGUGCUGUUAAUUUAAGUCUAAACAUGAAUAAAUUAAAUAUAAAAGUAAAA